AAGUUCUGCAUAAAAGCAAUACAAGUUAAUUAAACAAUCAAAAAUUAAGAAUUUUACCAUUUCCUUUUUUAAUGGUUUAGCUUCACUCUUUCUUUUGGAUUUUUGAAAAAGGCCAGAAAUUCUGCUUUCCAGUGUGGUUCUUUUUCUGUAAAGAAAGUAGCCCUAAAUAUACCUGCUUACUGUUUCUUGGGUUCCUCUUUAUCCUGGUCAUUGCUCACUGAGCUGCUUCUAAUGGGAUUGUUCAUCUUUUACUGUUAAGAGAUUUAUAGCCUCAGAGGCAUACCUAACUGUACCCUCCAAGUACCUUAGGCUAAAACAAAAUUGUAUCUACCUUUCAUUUUUCAUCACAUACUACCAAUAUAAUCUAGUCUAUGAUAUUUCAGAAGAAUUUCUCACUGAAACAUUUGAAAUGCCUUACAAAACUAGAUGUGAAGAGGGGCCAUGAGAGGCUGAGCUCUGCUGACCAUCUGAAAAGUCUUGACAGCCUCUGAGAAAUUUCAGUCAUAGACAAAGUCUUUAUUAGUAAAGCAGAAACUGCUGAAAGUUGUCAAUUAGUCUUGUAUUUUUUUGAGCAGCCUCCCAAAUUCAAAAGAAACUAGUUGCACUGGAAGCAGUGCUGAAAGAAAUAACCUCACUGUAGGAUCUUCUGGCAGUACUUACCAGAGAUGAAUAAGGAGUGAGAACAUCAGAAAGCAGAGGAUGUAUGGACCCCCUAAAUGAAUGUGGGAUUGUUUGUUUUCUGUUAAUUAAAACUAUUAUCUAAAUUAUUUCAUUAUCCCAAGUUUAUUGACUCACUCUGGUCGGGAGUGAGUAAGAAAGAUUUGAUCAGGUAAAUAUAUAUAGCUGAGGAAAGUAUGCGUUUAAUGUGGGACUUGGCAUGGGUUUGUGCCAAAUACUAUUUUAGAUUUAUUUUCUUUUAAUACAAAAGAUGGUGAAUAAAGAUAGUUAUUUAGUCUGUUUUCUGUUUCUCUGAAGUGAGUGCUAGUGUUGCAUUGAUCAGGUACAGGGUUGGGUGUGUUCUUGCCCCUUCCAUUGCUUUCCUUACUCCUUUCCUUCCGAUCAGUGUGUCUCUCUUGUUCUGCCUCAGAUUAGUGGAUGAAGGAAAUCAAAGCAGAUGCUGUCUCCUGUGGGCUUGCGUACAGUUUAGGGUGGAAAGCGGAUUACAGCCACAGAAAGACUUGCAUUAGAUCUUUAGCAGACUCCCUCAGACCUCUUUGCUUUGCUACACAGUAUGUCCCAAAGCGUCUACUUGCAGUAUAACAUGGGAUUAAAAACCACAACUAUGACCUGCCCCAGAAACAGACUAGGGAAGAGGGAAAGUGUUGCCAGUCCCAAAGUACCCUGUGUUUCUGAAUCAUAUCCUCCUAGGCAGUGUUCUCCAACUCCUGUUUUCUUGCGUUCAGCUCUGUGUAUUUUCAGCUUCCACUGUGAGAACUGAUAUGGAGGGGAUGUAAAUGAAGUUGUCAACCAACCGUUUUCAUUAUCAUCUUUGAAGUUUUGCUGUUUCUUACCCUCUAUCAUUUUUCUUUCAAAUCUCUUAAUCUAAGCACAUGCCUCAGGAAAGCAUUAAAAUAACAUAUUGACUUCUGCAGCUCCUGCCUCUCUUCUAACAAACAUUUAUGCAGGUUUGAGACCAACACAGGGUGCAUGGAGCCAUCACAGUGAUGGCUGUUGAGCUGGGUUCAACUCCUAGACUUUUGUCUGCUAGAGCCUGCUCUCAGACUCUGCCUUGCUCUGACUCUUGACUCAGAAGUGCCCAGGGUGCAGGCAGAGCCUGAUGGCUACCUACACACCUCUGCCUUACCUCUGGUCUUGGUAGUCUGUUUCCAUCACGCUCUCAGUUCCUUCCUAAUAAUUCCUGGUUUCAAACAUAUUCUGUUUGAAACAGAAAAUGUUUCACUUUGCUGUCUUCUCUGUUCUCAGAUUUCUGAUUUAUGCAGAUUCUUGGGAUGCAGAAUAGAGUGUAACACAGACCCUGCUGGUAGUCUCCCUCUGCUGCAAAAACUGGCCCUU